ACACGUAAAUUAAAAAUAAUUCUAAUAUCAUAGUUUUAAUUCAUAAACCAAACGUCUCCUUAUCCUUAUUUAACGAAGAAAACGAGCAAAUUCUAUAUUUAUUUAUUUAUUUAUUUUUUGGUUGAUAAUUUUGUCCUAGGUGGCUUAUAUAAGUUGACCCAUAUUUCCUCACCCUUUGCUCCUCGUUUUCCUUGUGUUCUGCUUCUAAACCCAUCACAAUUCUUAACACCAAAAAUCCUGAACACCGUUCAAGCAAAAAAAAAAAAAAAAAAAAGAAAGUUCCUGAACACCACCAGCAAAAUCAUUCUCAAACCCAACAUCAAGCCCCAUCAGAAUUUUCAAACUCUUCACCACCAAAUCCAAACCUAAAACAAUGAAAAGUACCCUGUCCUUGUCGGCGAGCUCGGCGCCGUCAAACUCCUGCAUCAAUUUGGUACCGCCAAACCAAUUCGAACUCUUAACUCUCGCAGCCUUUGAUGAGACCAAUUUGGACGAAAUGAAAAUCACGUUUCCUUUUGCAAUUUCGUGCUUAUGCAGAGGACAACCCGAUCCGCUUCUGUGGGCAUGUUUUGAUGGCCGGAUAAGAGCUAUCCGGUCCAGUCGUUAAAAAAAUUGGACCAAACAUGGGAUUAAGAUCUCUAAUCCCAGUCCGGUCCUUUAUUCUUCCUAGUACCAUUUUCAACGUGUUAAUACUUGUUAAUCCGUACAUACCCACACCCAAAAAUAAAUAAAAGACAGUUUGUUACAAUGGAGGGAACGGGCUUGUUUCAGUCGGCAUUUGCUUCCAGAAUAAUAAGAAGAGCUGAGCAGACGGAUUCCGAGUUAGCGAGAAGUAAUUUUUAGUGUAUUUGGGAGAUCUGAGCAAACUGAUUCAGAGUUAACGAGAAGGAAUUGGAAGGAAAGGCAAGAUUGAUGUUCAGUAUCAUCAGCAACUAAAAACUGAGAAUCAGUCUGGUUUGGAUCAGAAUAUAGAAUUUUCGCAUGAAGAUCAAAUUGGGAAAGGAUUGGGAGGUGCUCUAAAGUUGCUUAAAGAGCGAGGAAUGAUUGAAAAAAACUGCUGAUCGCUGGACUGAAAGAAUUUACAAUGUUGGCAAGAAGAAGAGAAAAGUUGAUGAACAUUCUGAAACAAGUACAUCCUAUUUGAAAUCGGCCCAAUUGAAGGACGCUUUCCUACAUAUAUACUACGAGAACAAGGAGAUCCGCAUUGAUAAAUUUGAUGAAUUUGGUCGUCAGAUGACUCCUAGAGAAGGUUACAAAGAAUUCUGCUAUAAGUUCCAUGGAAUCUGACCCAGCAAAAAGUGAGAAGAAAAGCGUUUGAAGCAAAAUCAGCAGGAGUUGAAGAUGAAGCAAACUCAUCUACUGUGGAGCUGAUAGAAAAAUUACUAGCUGGGAUUUAUUCUGUUACUUAUGUAAAUAACUUGGAUAUCAUUUGUAGGGUUGCAAUGAACAAUUGAACUGCAAGGGCUUGAUCCCUUUCCAGGGUAUGUAGGCAGCUCAUCACUUUAUAAAUGAGUCCAGCCCCUUGUUAUUGUAAAAACCAUUUUUGUAUGAUGAAUAAAGAAACAUGAAAACAAAAGAGUUGAAUAA